rnacentral:rRNA from 1 species
GUAAUGCAAGUCGACGGUUGGGGAAGAGCUUGCUGUUUCGCUGACGAGUGGCGGAGGGGUGAGUAAUGUGUGGGAAACGGCCUGAUGGAGGGGGAUAACUACGGGAAACGGGGCUUAAUACCGCAAAACGUCUCAAGACCAAGGAGGGGGACCUUCGGGCCUCUUGCGCUGGGAUGUGCCCAUAUGGGAUUAGCUAGUUGGUGGGGUAACGGCUCACCUAGGCGACGAUGCCUAGCUGGUCUGACAAGAUGACCAGCCACUCUGGAACUGAGACACGGUCCAGACUCCUACGGGAGGCAGCAGUGGGGAAUAUUGCACAAUGGGCGCAAGCCUGAUGCACCCUUGCCGCGUGUAUGAAGAAGGCCUUCGGGUUGUAAAGUACUUUCAGCGGGGAGGAAGGGAGUAAAGUUAAUACCUUUGCUCAUUGGGGUUACCCGCGGAAGAAGCACCGGCUAACUCCGUGCCAGCAGCCCGGUAAUACGCGAGGGUGCAAGCGUUAAUCGGAAUUACUGGGACUUAUUGCGCACGCAGGUCGGUUUGUUAGGUUUCAUGUGAAAUCCCCCGGGCUCAACCUGGGAACUGCAUCUGAUACUGGCAAGCUUGAGUCUGGCAUGAGUGGGGGUAGAAUUCCUGGUGUUCCGUGUAAAUGCGUAAAGAUCUGGAAGAAUACCAGUGGCAAAGGCGGCCCCCUGGACGAUGACUGACGCUCAUGUGCCAGAGCGUGGGGAGCAAACAGGAUUAGAUACCCUGGUUAUCCACGCCGUACACGAUGUCGACUUGGAGGUUGUGCCCUUGAAGCGUGUCUUCCCGAUCUAACUCGUUAUAUCGACCUCCUGGCGAGUACUGGCGAGUAGUUAAAACUCGAAUGAAAUUGACAGGGAGCUCGACACGAGCCGGUGGAACAUGUGGGUUUAAUUCGAUGCAACGCCAAGAACCUUAACAUGAGUCUUGACAUCCUCAUGAAAUUUUCCAGAAAUGGAUUUUGAUGCCUUCCGGGAACUGUGAGACAGAGUGCUGACAUGCUGUCGUCAGCUCGUGGUUUGCGAAAUGUUUGGUUAAAUUUCCCGCUAACGAGCGCAAACCUAUAUCAUUUGUUGACCAGCGGUCCGGCCGGGAAACCAAAGGAGACUGCCAGUGAUGAACUGAAGGAAGGUGGGGAUAACGUACGGUCAUUAUGGCCCUCCCGACCAGACCUACACAUACGCUCCAAUGGCGCAUACAAACAGAACCGACCUCGCGAGAGCAAGCGGACCUACUAAACUGCGUUGUAGUCCGGAUUGGAGUCUGCAACUCGACUCCAUGAAGUGGGAAUCGUUGGUAAUCGUGGAUCAGAAUGCCACGGUGAAUACGUUCCCGGCCCUUGUACACACCGCCCGUCACACCAUGGGAGUGGGCCAAAAGAAGUAGGUAGCUUACCUUCGGGAGCCUCCCACUGA